rnacentral:rRNA from 1 species
CGAUGCCUAAGACAUGCAAGUCGAACGGAGUGGCCCAUUGAAGACGGAGUGCUUGCACAAAGUUGGAUUUGGAUUCCCACUCAGUGGCAGACGGGUGAGUAACACGUGGGUAAUCUACCCUAGAGACUGGGACAACAGUUGGAAACGACUGCUAAUACCGGAUAAUUCAUAUUUAGAUAACUAGAUAUGCUAAAAGGAGCCUUUAAAGCUUCACUCUAGGAUGAGCUUGCGGCGCAUUAGCUAGUUGGUGGGGUAAUGGCCUACCAAGGCAACGAUGCGUAUCCGGGCUGAGAGGCUAAACGGACACAUUGGGACUGAGACACGGCCCAAACUCCUACGGGAGACAGCAGUUAGGAAUAUUCGUCAAUGGGGGGAAACCCUGAACGAGCAAUGCCGCGUGAGUGAUGAACCGGUCUUAUAGAUUGUAAAGCUCUGUUGUAAGAGACGAAACCACAGUAUAGGAAAUGCUACUGUGCUGACGGUAUCUUACCAGAAAGCCCCGGCUAACUACGUGCCAGCCGCGGC